UACAGAGGUCUCAAGCGUUGUUCGGAUUCAUUGGGCGUAAAGGGCGCGUAGGCGGCGGGGCAAGUCGGGUGUGAAAUCUCAGGGCUCAACCCUGAAACUGCACUCGAUACUGCUCUGCUUGAGGACUGGAGAGGAGACUGGAAUUCACGGUGUAGCAGUGAAAUGCGUAGAUAUCGUGAGGAAGACCAGUGGCGAAGGCGGGUCUCUGGACAGUUCCUGACGCUGAGGCACGAAGGUCAGGGGAGCAAACGGG
rnacentral:rRNA from 1 species